AGAAAAUUAAUUGUUAAAUUAAAAAAAAAUUAAUCAAAAGAGAUUAAAGUGGCAAUAGUUUAACACAGAUACUAUUUUUCUACAUCAAUCAUUUUACUCUAAUUGAAAGUAUUGUUAAAAUUUCACAUUUCUUUCGGCAUGGAACGUGUUAACCGGAAGCCGCUAACUAUAAGUAUUUCCAUCAGCUGUUGACGAACAGUGUUGGGCCUGCGUUACAAUUUACUUUGAGAGUAUCAUCACUCGUGCAAUUUUUAUAUAUUAAAAGAUGAAAUUAGAUAAUCGUAUAGAGAGCAUAUAACGAGGAAAAAUUCAUAUGUGAUCACUUGGAGCAGUAUUACGCCAGGGACACGGGCUGCACGGUUGCACGCAGUGUGGUCUCUUACAUAAGUUAGAACAGAGGUUAGAAAGAGAAGCAUAGAGAAUACGUUCGACCGAUAUGAAUAGUUGACACGAUGUUUUCACUUGAUAUCGGUUUUCAUCAGAAAACGAAGCUCUGUCUAUGUCUUCGGAGGUACACUCACUACGAAUUCAACAUGAAGAAAUCGAGAACAAUGUUUUGUCAACGAUCACCAAUCCAAUUAAUACGAAGAUUAACGCUGGUUCCCUUAAACACGAUGAAACGCGAAAACACGCGAUAAUAUUGAAACGCGAGGAAAGUUAACAGGCUGAACCAUCUACGUCCGCGACGUAUACGUAUACUAACAGCUACGUAGACGAAACGAGUCUCAUAAAUGCACGAAAUCACGUCUACUCACACGCACUGUGAUACUCAGAUCGGAUAAUGUCUUCGUUGACAGAAGACGAGUCCAUAAACUCGCGUUUCACAAACGUGCAGCGAGAUUCUGCGAGACGAAAUGAAACAACUAGCUGAACGAAAUGACAAAAGUGAGGUUACGUAGGUCCAGACUCGAUGACACGAGUUAUCGAGACGCAGUCUGAUAGUCGAUGACUUUUACAGCAGAUUUCUCUCCUUUCUUUCUGUUCCUACCGUCUCUCGGAUCGUGACAAUGGACUAGAAGCUGCAGCGGCACGCUGCACACCCAGGACGCACCACGCAAGUUCCAGCUGACGUCCUGGCGAAUCGAAGAAGUGGGGAGGGAACGGAGCAGUCAAGUGUGGUGGACAGCCCUCAUGGACUUAGAUCGGCCCUCGUGGCUCGAAAGAGAAGCAUAAGUGGGAAAGCAGAAUUAGGGAUUGUUUGGUUAUGUUUUGCAACCCUUUGACUAUCAUUGGUACCUGUACGUGAUAGAAGUCAAUGCUUAUAGAAGGUUAAAGGUAAUCACUCGCCAGAUAUUAAUAAUACACCUAUGAAUGCCUGUAGGUACACCAACUGUUCUUUUUUUUCCUAACAAACGAAUAUAUUCCUAUAUUACUGAUUUUAUUUUUGGGAUAUGCAGAAUGUAAAAUGUGAAAUAUUAAAACAAAAGAUAUUGUGGAUUCGUACACAGUGAUUACUACCGCAUUGAGCACCUCUCGUCUCCAAACACGUCGGAUCAAAAGGUUACUUGAAAAAUCAAGAAAAUGAAUGAACUUAAAUUACUUAAAGUAAAUGAAAGAAACGUGCAAUUUUUAUUCCGACAAAAUAAUAACGAACAAAAUGGAAAAACUAUACACAACUGACCAAUGACAGUUUCUUCUAUGGAUCGAAAGCGCGGUCGCAAAACUAGACCGUGUUAAGCCGCCUAGAAAUGCGUCCCGUCGUCCCGACAAUGCACGUGUACUCGUUCAGAUGUACACAAGCAGCUCGAUCGUCGACGGCGAACUCGUUGUGCCUUCGAGCUCCGAACGCCGCGAAUCAGCAGGAGGAAGAGGGAAUCACCAACGCCACAGGAAGGGAGAAUCACCGAGACAGGAAAGGAGGAGAAUGUAAGCUUUGGCAAGAGUUGGAACAAGAGAAAACGAUCAGCAGUCGGCCAACCGCGUGAGACUGAAUGAACUCGUUUCUGACCCCGACUUGUCCUGCCUCGUUCCCGAGCCACGACAACCCCAGUCUACCACCUCUCCGCCUUUUCCUCCAUUUCGCAAUGUCUGUUUUAUCGCGAGAGAUUUUUCAUCUUUGCCGAUGAUUAUGGUCAAAACUUAAUUAUUGUAGCUAUUAAGAAAGUUUGAAUUCGAUGGUGAUUUGAAAUGUAA